rnacentral:rRNA from 1 species
GAAAUCUGGCACCUUCGGUGUCCGAGUUGUAAUUUGAAGAAGGUAACUUUGGAGUUGGCUCUUGUCUAUGUUCCUUGGAACAGGACGUCACAGAGGGUGAGAAUCCCGUGCGAUGAGAUGUCCAACUCUAUGUAAAGUGCUUUCGAAGAGUCGAGUUGUUUGGGAAUGCAGCUCUAAGUGGGUGGUAAAUUCCAUCUAAAGCUAAAUAUUGGCGAGAGACCGAUAGCGAACAAGUACAGUGAUGGAAAGAUGAAAAGAACUUUGAAAAGAGAGUGAAAAAGUACGUGAAAUUGUUGAAAGGGAAGGGUUUGAGAUCAGACUUGGUAUUUUGUAUGUCUUGCUUUCGGGUGGGGCCUCUGCAGUUUACUGGGCCAGCAUCGGUUUGGACGGUAGGAUAAUGACAUUGGAAUGUGGCACUACUUCGGUGGUGUGUUAUAGACUUUGUUGAUACUGCCUGUCUAGACCGAGGACUGCGUCUUUGACUAGGAUGCUGGCAUAAUGAUCCUAAACCGCC